rnacentral:rRNA from 1 species
AGAGUUUGAUCAUGGCUCAGAACGAACGCUGGCGGCGUGCUUAACACAUGCAAGUCGAGUGCGCGUGCCGUAGCAAUACGGUAUGGCGCACGGCGCACGGGUGCGUAACACGUGGGCAAUCUGCCCUCCGGUGGGGAAUAACCCCGCGAAAGCGGGGCUAAUUCCGCAUAACAUUCCCUGGACUCUGGUUCGGGGAUUCAAAGCAGCAAUGCGCCGGAGGAGGAGCCCGCGCCCGAUUAGCUAGUUGGUGAGGUGACGGCUCACCAAGGCAAUGAUCGGUAGCUGGUCUGAGAGGAUGGCCAGCCACACUGGAACUGAGACACGGUCCAGACUCCUACGGGAGGCAGCAGUGGGGAAUCUUGCGCAAUGGGCGAAAGCCUGACGCAGCGACGCCGCGUGGGGGAUGAAGCUUCUCGGAGUGUAAACCCCUUUCGACCGGGGCGAAUGCCCGCAAGGGAGUGACGGUACCGGUAGAAGAAGCCCCGGCUAACUACGUGCCAGCAGCCGCGGUAAGACGUAGGGGGCCAGCGUUGCUCGGAAUUACUGGGUGUAAAGGGUUCGUAGGCGGUGUGGCAAGUCGGGAGUGAAAUUUCUGGGCUUAACCCAGAAGCUGCUUCCGAAACUGCUGUGCUAGAGUGCGGGAGAGGCGCGUGGAAUUGCAGGUGUAGCGGUGAAAUGCGUAGAUAUCUGCAGGAACACCCGUGGCGAAAGCGGCGCGCUGGACCGUUACUGACGCUGAGGAACGAAAGCUAGGGGAGCAAACAGGAUUAGAUACCCUGGUAGUCCUAGCCCUAAACGAUCAGGACUUGGGGUGCCUUCCGUUCGGAAGUCGUCCCGGAGCUAACGCGUUAAGUCCUGCACCUGGGGAGUACGUCGCAGACUGAAACUCAAAGGAAUUGACGGGGCCCGCACAAGCGGUGGAACAUGUGGUUCAAUUCGACGCUACGCGAGGAACC